rnacentral:rRNA from 1 species
UACGUAGGGUGCAAGCGUUGUCCGGAAUUAUUGGGCGUAAAGAGCUCGUAGGCGGUUCAGUAAGUCAGGUGUGAAAGCUCCGAGCUCAACUCGGAGAGGCCACCUGAUACUGCUGUGACUAGAAUCCAGUAGGGGAGUGUGGAACUCCUGGUGUAGCGGUGAAAUGCGCAGAUAUCAGGAAGAACACCAGCGGCGAAGGCGGCACUCUGGGCUGGAAUUGACGCUGAGGAGCGAAAGUGUGGGUAGCAAACAGG